GGGGUUGUGGCUUAGCAGUAGAGCGCUCACCUCGCAUGUGCUAGACCCUGAGUUCGAUCCUCAGCACCA
rnacentral:tRNA from 1 species